UACGUAGGGGGCAAGCGUUGUCCGGAAUCAUUGGGCGUAAAGCGCGCGUAGGCGGCCCUGUAAGUCCGUUGUGAAAGUCAAAGGCUCAACCUUUGAAAGCCGAUGGAUACUGCAGGGCUAGAGUCCGGAAGAGGCGAGUGGAAUUCCUGGUGUAGCGGUGGAAUGCGCAGAUAUCAGGAAGAACACCCGUGGCGAAGGCGGCUCUCUGGGACGGUACUGACGCUGAGACGCGAAAGCGUGGGGAGCGAACAGG
rnacentral:rRNA from 1 species